rnacentral:rRNA from 1 species
UGGCGGCAGGCCUAACACAUGCAAGUCGAGCGGCAGCGACAACAUUGAACCUUCGGGGGAUUUGUUGGGCGGCGAGCGGCGGACGGGUGAGUAAUGCUUGGGAAUAUGCCUUAUGGUGGGGGACAACAGUUGGAAACGACUGCUAAUACCGCAUGAUGUCUACGGACCAAAGUGGGGGACCUUCGGGCCUCACGCCAUAAGAUUAGCCCAAGUGGGAUUAGCUAGUUGGUGAGGUAAUGGCUCACCAAGGCGACGAUCCCUAGCUGGUUUGAGAGGAUGAUCAGCCACACUGGGACUUGAGACACGGCCCAGACUCCUACGGGAGGCAGCAGUGGGGAAUAUUGCACAAUGGGCGCAAGCCUGAUGCAGCCAUGCCGCGUGUGUGAAGAAGGCCUUCGGGUUGUAAAGCACUUUCAGUAAGGAGGAAAGGUUAGUCAGUUAAUAGUUGGCUAGCUGUGACGUUACUUACAGAAGAAGCACCGGCUAACUCCGUG